UACGUAGGGUGCGAGCGUUAAUCGGAAUUACUGGGCGUAAAGCGUGCGUAGGCGGCUUUUUAAGUCUGGGGUGAAAGGUUCAACGCUCAACGUGAACAGUGCCUUGGAUACUGGGAAGCUUGAAUGUGGCAGAGGAUAGUGGAAUGGCUGGUGUAGCGGUGAAAUGCGUAGAUAUCAGUCGGAACACCCAUGGCGAGGGCAGCUAUCUGGGCUAACAUUGACGCUGAGGUGCGAAAGCGUGGGGAGCGAACGGG
rnacentral:rRNA from 1 species